AGAGGUGAAAUUCUAGGACCGGUUCAAGACAAACUACUGCGAAAGCAUCUGGCAAGGAUGUUUUCAUUAAUCAAGAACGAAAGUUGCGGGCGCGAAGAUGAUCAGAUACCGUCGUAGUCGCAACUAUAAACUUUGUCGCCCAAGGGGUAGUGGUAGUUACAUGAUGACACCCCUAUAACUUUGUGAGAAAUCACAAGUAUUUGGACUCUGGGGGAAGUAUGGUCGCAAGGCUGAAACUUAAAGGAAUUGACGGAAGGGCACCACCAGGAGUGGAACCUGCGGCUUAAUUUGACUCAACACGGGGAAACUUACCAGGUCCGGACACAAUAAGGAUUGACAGAUUGAUAGCUCUUUCUUGAUUCUGUGGAAAGUGGUGCAUGGCCGUUUUUAGUUGGUGGAUUGAUUUGUCUGGUUAAUUCCGUUAACGAACGA
rnacentral:rRNA from 1 species